rnacentral:tRNA from 1 species
GGCAGUGUGGUGUAGUGGAUAGAGCACUAGACUGGGACUCAGGAGACUUGGGUUCUAUUCCCUGCUCUGCCC